ACAUGGUUCUGGGGAGAGCUAGGGCAUAGGUAAUGUGCUACCGAGAGCUAAGGCAUAGGUAAUGUGCUACCGAGAGCUAAGGCAUAGGUAAUGUGCUACCGAGAGCUAAGGCAUAGCUAAUGUGCUAACGAGAGCUAAGGCAUAGGUAAUGUGCUACCGAGAGCUAAGGCAUAGGUAAUGUGCUACCGAGAGCUAAGGCAUAGGUAAUGUGCUACCGAGAGCUAAGGCAUAGGUAAUGUGCUACCGAGA